GACGAACGCUGGCGGCGUGCUUAACACAUGCAAGUCGAACGGUAAGGCCCUUCGGGGUACACGAGUGGCGAACGGGUGAGUAACACGUGGGUGAUCUGCCCUGCACUUCGGGAUAAGCCUGGGAAACUGGGUCUAAUACCGGAUAGGACCACUGCCUGCAUGGGUGGUGGGGGAAAGCUUUUGCGGUGUGGGAUGGGCGCGCGGCCUAUGAGAUUGUUGGUGGGGCGAUGGCCUACCAAGGCGACGACGGGUAGCCGGCCGCAGAGGGGGACCGGCCAAAGUGGGACUGUGAUACGGCACAGAGUCCUACGGGAGGCAGGAGUGGGGAAUAUUGCACAAUGGGCGCAAGCCUGGUGCAGCGACGCCGCGUGAGGGAUGACGGCCUUCGGGUUGUAAACCUCUUUCAGCACCGACGAAGCGCAAGUGACGGUAGGUGCAGAAGAAGGACCGGCCAACUACGUGCCAGCAGCCGCCGUAA
rnacentral:rRNA from 1 species